rnacentral:lncRNA from 1 species
AUCAUUUAUUUAUGGCAAGGAUUAAUUAAUAUGUUAAAUAAUCAAACGAAUAAGUUCGUUAAAGACCUCGGGAUAGUUUUGGACCUUAAGGCCCAAUGGGCUUCGAACGUCAAGCCCAUUAACUUAAGUUGUAUGACAAUUUAAUGAAUAAAGAUUCAUUAAAGCCCAAAAGGCCCAAAUUCCCUAAAUGGCCGGCCAUGUAUGUGAUGAAUUAGGGUUUUGGUUGUUUAGGUCACUUAAAGAAGUGACUAUAUAAAUGACUUUAUAACUAAAAAUUCAUUAAGAAAAAAUAAGGGUUUAUUUUUGGGAAAAUUGGUGAGAAUUGUCUCUCCAUUUUCUCUCUAAAGAGGCCAACACCUUGGAGGGUACAUCUAGCAAUC